rnacentral:rRNA from 1 species
AUUGAACGCUGGCGGCAUGCCUUACACAUGCAAGUCGAACGGCAGCGCGGGGCAACCUGGCGGCGAGUGGCGAACGGGUGAGUAAUAUAUCGGAACAUACCCUAGAGUGGGGGAUAACGUAGCGAAAGUUACGCUAAUACCGCAUACGCACUAAGGUGGAAAGUGGGGGAUCCGCAAGAACCUCAUGCUCAUGGAGUGGCCGAUAUCUGAUUAGCUAGUUGGUGAGGUAAAGGCUCACCAAGGCAACGAUCAGUAGCUGGUUUGAGAGAACGACCAGCCACACUGGAACUGAGACACGGUCCAGACUCCUACGGGAGGCAGCAGUGGGGAAUUUUGGGACAAUGGGCGAAAGCCUGAUCCAGCAAUGCCGCGUGAAGGAUGAAGUAUUUCGGUAUGUAAACUUCGAAAGAAUGGGGUAGAAUAAAUGACGGUACCAUUUAUAAGCUCCGGCUAACUACGUGCCAGCAGCCGCGGUAAU